UCGUGUGGUGGUUGCGGCAUAUUAUUUCACAGAUUUCCCAAGAAUGAAGAUAAGAAAAAAAUAUGGCCAGCCAUCCAGAUGUUGUUCCGGUGUCACAAUAGAUCAUCAUCAUCCAGUUCAAUGUAAUGAAGAACCACACAUGAGUUCCAGUUGUGAAGGCAUUAGCUAAUUCAUAUUUAA